rnacentral:rRNA from 1 species
AGUGAACGCUGGCGGUAGGCCUAACACAUGCAAGUCGAACGGCAGCACAGUAAGAGCUUGCUCUUACGGGUGGCGAGUGGCGGACGGGUGAGGAAUACAUCGGAAUCUACUUUUUCGUGGGGGAUAACGUAGGGAAACUUACGCUAAUACCGCAUACGACCUACGGGUGAAAGCAGGGGAUCUUCGGACCUUGCGCGAUUGAAUGAGCCGAUGUCGGAUUAGCUAGUUGGCGGGGUAAAGGCCCACCAAGGCGACGAUCCGUAGCUGGUCUGAGAGGAUGGGCAGCCACACUGGAACUGAGACACGGUCCAGCCUCCUACGGGAGGCAGCGGUGGGGAAUAUUGGACAAUGGGCGCAAGCCUGAUCCAGCCAUACCGCGUGGGUGAAGAAGGCCUUCGGGUUGUAAAGCCCUUUUGUUGGGAAAGAAAAGCAGCAGGUUAAUACCCCGCUGUUCUGACGGUACCCAAAGAAUAAGCACCGGCUAACUUCGUG